GUUUCCAUGGUCUAGUGGUUAGGACGGCGGUCUCAUAAGAUGACGAUUUCUCUAAAGAAGUUGCAAUCCGCAAGCACGAGUUCGAUUCUCGUUGGAAGCA